rnacentral:piRNA from 1 species
UUUAGAUCCGAACUCCCCCCU